CAAACCCGAGUUCUCGCGAGAUUUUGUCAUUAAAUUCUCGUGAUAACCUCGGUUUCAAUUUGAGAUUUGAGACGCAUGGGUCAGCCUUUAUCCUCACCCAAUUUCAAAAUUAGGGUUUAAUCGCUCUAUCUCUCGCUCGCAUUAUCCACACCCCACAUUGCCGACGACUCUUUUUCUCUCUCUCGCUUGCUCUUCGUUCUCACCGUCAUAGGUUGUUCCCCCAUUUGCCGACGCUGUUCCCCAUUGCCGACGACUCUCUUUCUCGCUCGUGAGCUCUCCGUCCUGACCGUCACGGGCUAUUCCCCCAUUGUUGACGAAUGAUGAUUGCAAAUGGUUUCAAUGAAUCGAUGAUGAACGAACCAGUCGUGAGAAAAAAUUAUGCGAAGUUUUGUUGGAUAAGUUAAACUGCAACACGACAGAAGCAAAUGAAAAGGAGACAUUACUUCAAGAACAAAUAAGGGCUUUAGAAGAAAAAGCUUUAAGGAGGAAAAAAAAUAUAUUGACGCUUAAGGAAGACUAUAGAUGUUUAAUGGAAGCGAACUUUCAGUUGAAAAUAAAGCUUCAUGAGAGAGACAUGAAGUUUGUUAGGGUUCUAAUAGUGUUAGGAUUGUGUUGUUUUUUUAUUAAUUUUAUGGUUGAUGAAAAACGAUGGUAGUAGAUUUAGGUAUUUGGCUUUAAUGUAAAGAAUAAUCUAUGUUAGUUAAAAUUUGCUUGUUACUUGCAUAUUGUUUGUUUAUUUAGGGAUGACAAAUGGAUGAAAACUGUUACUGAGCUUGUUGCUUGCAAAUUGCUUGUUACUUGCAAAUUGUAAAUUGUUUGUUUACACAAAACUGUUAGGGUUCAGGGAUAUAUAUUGUGGGUGGAUGCUAGAAUUACUUCAGGUUCAGGAUUUGGACAA